CACCAGUAUGACAUUUCUCCAUGAAAAUCUUUUCUUACCAGAGACAGCUUUGACCUUAGUGGCAGCAAUGGCAUCAAAAACUUUUGUAAUUUUACAGUUGAAAUGAUCUACAAGCUUAGUGACUGAGACCCCAGAGAGAGCGGGUGUGGAGAACAAAAGCAGAAUAAAUGUUUCACUGGUGUUUUCAGUGAUGUACCAUUUUAGGAUUAUCUUUGUUUGAACACUUUUGUGCACAGCGAUAGUGCUGUUAAAGAAAACACAGGAAUGAUCAGAGAGAGCAACGUCAGUCAUCACAACCUUGGAAAUGUUCAGACCUUUGGAGAUAAUCAAGUCUAGAGUGUACCCCUUAUUGUGCGUGGGCUCCGUUCUUUGGUCCCUCUGUUCUGGGGUUGUCAACAUGAAUGUUAAAAUCACGCGCAAUGAUUACACAGUCAAAGUUAAUACAGAUUUAAGACAGCAGUUUAUUAAAAACGUCAAAGA